rnacentral:rRNA from 1 species
AUUGAACGCUGGCGGCAGGCCUAACACAUGCAAGUCGAGCGAGCGGCGGACGGGUGAGUAAUGUAUGGGGACUGCCCGAUAGAGGGGGAUAACUACUGGAAACGGUGGCUAAUACCGCAUACUAUCGGAUAACCCAUAUGUGAUUUGCUAGUCGGUGUGGUAAAGGCUCACCUAGGCGACGAUCUCUAGCUGGUCUGAGAGGAUGAUCAGCGACACUGGAACUGCGACACGGCCCAGACUCCUACGGCGGCAGCAGUGGGGAAUAUUGCACAAUGGGCGAAAGCCUGAUGCAGCCAUGCCGCGUGUAUGAAGAAGGCCUUAGGGUUGUAAAGUACUUUCAGCGGGGAGGCGUUACCCGCAGAAGAAGCACCGGCUAACUCCGUGCCAGCCGCCGCGGUAAUUC